UACGGGGGGGGGCAAGCGUUGUUCGGAAUUACUGGGCGUAAAGGGCUCGUAGGCGGCCAACUAAGUCAGACGUGAAAUCCCCAGGCUCAACCUGGGAACUGCGUCUGAUACUGGAUGGCUUGAAUCCGGGAGAGGGAUGCAGAAUUCCAGGUGUAGCGGUGAAAUGCGUAGAUAUCGGGAGGAACACCUGUGGCGAAGGCGGCCCCCUGGUUGGAUACUGACGCUGAUACGCGAAAGCGUGGGGAGCAAACAGG
rnacentral:rRNA from 1 species